rnacentral:rRNA from 1 species
AGUUAGUUUUAAAAAGGCAUUUAAAGAAAAUUUUUGGUAAAUUACAUUAUUAAGGACGUGACGUUUCGAAAAUUAAAAUAAGGUUUUGACCUGUGAUUUUUAAGUUUCCUAAUUAAAAAAUAAAAUUUUUUAAAUACUGUGAAUUGAAUCAUCUUAAUUAACAGUAUAAAAAAGAAAUCAACCGAGAUAUUGUUAGUAGCGGUGAGCGGAACUAAUUUUUUAAGUUUAAUAAACACAAAAAAAUUUUAUAUUUUCUUAAUUUACAAAAUUAGGUUUGUAGUCCUGUAAAGUUUAUAUUAAUUUAUUUAUUUUUGUGUUAAUUUUAAAAGUAAAAUGUUAAUUAUUUGAAAAAAUCUGGGAGUACCACCUUCCAAACUUAAAAAAUGUAAUUUAAUCGAUAGUAAAAUAGUAUUGUGAAAUAAAAAAUAAACUUGAAUAAAAACUAAUCAAAAAAAAUUGAAUGUCUAAUUAAUUACUCGAAGUAAAAAACAACGAGAUGCUUUUUGCAGAACGAGUCAGUAAGUUAAAAAUUAUAGCAAAAAAAUUUGAAUUACAAUAAUUUUUUACAAAGUUAUAAUAAUUAGACCUGAAACCAAGUGAUCUAAUUAUAAACAAGUUGAUUUUAGUAUAAUAACUAAUUUGAGGACUGAACUUUUGUAUGUAGCAAAAUACUAAGAAGAUUUGUAAUUAGGAGUGAAAGGCUAAUCAAACUUGGUUAUAGCCGGUUUUUUACGAAAUGUAUUUUAGUACAGCAAUGUUUAUUAAUACUUUAAAGUAAAGUACAAUUUUUUUAUUGUUAAAAAAUUUAUCUUAAAAUUUAAUUUAUUAAAAAAUUCAUUAGUCAGUCUAAGAGUGAAAAGAUUCUUAGACAAAAGGAAAACAAUCCAGAUUGUUUGUUAAGGUUUUAAAUUACAAACUAUUAAAUUAAGGUUUUUUAAAAUUUAAAUAUUGUUAAUAGACUUAGAAGCAGUUUUUUAUUUGAGAAAGCGUUUUAGCUCAUUAUUUUUUUUUAUUUAACUAAAAAUUUUGGAAAUUAAAAUUGUAAACCGAAGCAGCAAAUAUAAUGUAUAUAUGGUAGUAAAACGUUUUGUUAUUAACUUAAAAAAAAGAGCAAUCAUUUACACAAAAAUGCGAAUGCUGACAUGAGUAACGAAAAAUUAUGUAAAAAUCAUAAUCAUUAAUUUUUUAGGUUUUCAAUGUACUUUAAACUUCAUUGAGUGAGUCGGUUCUUAAAAAAAAAUUCAACAACUUAUUUGAUAGAUAAAUUAUUACUAUAUUUAAACAAACUUUUGUUGGUUAGAAUUUAUUUAAAAUAUUUUUCUAAAUUAAUUAAAAAAUAUUUUAAUUAAAUUUUCGAGAAAAAAAUAAAUUUUUAAAACCGUACUAAAUCCGACACUGGUUAAAAAAUUAAAUGUUUGGAAAAAUUAUACUAAAGGAACUUGGCAAAUUAGUUUCGUAUGUUAGCUAUAAGAAACGUCUAAUUAUUUAGAUAACAUAAACCAAAAAGCAACGACUGGUUAUCAAAACCACAAAACUCUGCAAAUUAAUGUAAAAAGAAGUAUAGAGUUUGAAGCCUGCCCAGUGCUCAAAAAUUAAAUUUGAAGAGUUAUCAACUUUAUUACAAAUUUGAGUAAACGGCGGUUCUAACUAUAAGAAUCCUUAGGUAGCGAAAUUCCUUGGCGGGUAAAUUCCGUCCUGCAUGAAUGGCUUAACGAUUGCUUUACUGUCUCUAGUAUAAAUUCAGUGAAAUUACAAUAUUCAUGAAAAUGUGAAUUAUUUACAAUAAGACGGAAAGACCCUAGAUCCUUUACUUUUAUUUUAUAUUGUGAAAAAAAUCUAUUGAAAAAAAUUAAAAAUGGGAGUUAACAACUUAUUGAAAAACCAUUUCAAUAGAUUUUUUUUACUAACUUUAUUUUUAUUAAAGACAUUUUGUAAAAAAGAAAGUUUACUUGGGAUGAGUACCUCCUAAAAAGUAACGGAGGUGUACAAAGGUGAUUAAUACUAAAUAGUAAAUUUUGCUUGAUAAUAAAAUUCAUAAAUUAAAUUAGGACGUAAGUCAGUUAUAAUGACCCAAAUUUAAGCGUGGAAUUAAAUUUGUUCAUCAGAUAAAAGGAACUCUAGGGAUAACAGAUUCAUCAUGAUUUAAAGUUCAUAUUGAAAUCAUGGUUUGAUACCUCGAUGUCGACUCAUCUUAUCCUGAAAUUGAAGCAGAUUUCAAGGGUCUAGUUGUUCGCUAGUAAAAAAGGUACGUGAGUUGGGUUCAGAACGUUGUGAAACAGUUCGGUCCCUAUCUAUUGUGAAUCAAAAAAAUUAAAAGAAUUAUUUUUAGUACGAGAGGAUCAAAAUAUAUUAACCACUGGUGACUUGAUUAAAACAUAAAAAAUUAUUUUAUUGUCAAAUAGCUACGUUAAAAAAAUUAAAUACUGAAUGAAUCAAUUGUAUAAAAUUUCCUUUAAUAUUUUUUUGAAUAUUCUUUUCGAAAAAAAGAUUGAUCGGUCUAAUUUUUAUUUUUAGUAAUAAAAAAACUAUAGAUACGAAUUUUAUCAAAAUUAAUUUUUAAUUAACUUA